rnacentral:lncRNA from 1 species
GUAUUUAAUUGCCCACAUAAAUUUUCUAUAGUAAAGAGUGUUAAGUAUUUGACCGUUAAAUUUAAUGUAUAAUGCAGCUGUGUUUUAACUUGUAUCAUUUCCAAUUAGAAGCCGUAUAAUUUAUGUCUCUGUUUGUUUAUAUUCUGUCCCUAUAGUUGUGUGGUCUGGGGAUGAAUGACAAUUUUAUGUGUGAGAAAGUGAUGAAAGUAGUGAAGGCCUUCACGAGAAUAAAACUGGGUAAAUGUUGAGAUGCGGGAGAGUCGAGAAUAGUUAACGAGAAUGAGUGGAUGGAUCUUUAUAUAAAUGUAAAUUAAUUCAAGUGUAUAUUUUUGAACCUGUUGAUAAUAAAUUUGUAUAUAUCUGAACACAGUCUUAAAAGCCAGUGCCUUAGAACAGCUCCCGCCUCCGUGACAC